rnacentral:rRNA from 1 species
GACGAACGCUGGCGGCGUGCCUAAUACAUGCAAGUUGAGCGAUGAAGAUUGGUGCUUGCCCCAAUUUGAAGAGCAGCGAACGGGUGAGUAACGCGUGGGGAAUCUGCCUUUGAGCGGGGGACAACAUUUGGAAACGAAUGCUAAUACCGCAUAACAACUUUAAACAUAAGUUUUAAGUUUGAAAGAUGCAAUUGCAUCACUCAAAGAUGAUCCCGCGUUGUAUUAGCUAGUUGGUGAGGUAAAGGCUCACCAAGGCGAUGAUACAUAGCCGACCUUAGAGGGUGAUCGGCCACAUUGGGACUGAGACACGGCCCAAACUCCUACGGGAGGCAGCAGUAGGGAAUCUUCGGCAAUGGACGAAAGUCUGGCCGAGCAACGCCGCGGGAGUGAAGAAGGUUUUCGGAUCGUAAAACUCUGUUGGUAGAGAAGAACGUUGGUGAGAGUGGAAAGCUCAUCAAGUGACGGUAACUACCCAGAAAGGGACGGCUAACUACGUG